UACGUAGGGGGCUAGCGUUGUCCGGAAUCACUGGGCGUAAAGGGCGCGUAGGCGGCUUCUUAAGCGUGUGGUGAAAGCUCAGGGCUCAACUCUGAGUCGGCCAUGCGAACUGGGAGGCUUGAGCACUGUAGAGGCAGGUGGAAUUCCGGGUGUAGCGGUGGAAUGCGUAGAGAUCCGGAAGAACACCGGUGGCGAAGGCGGCCUGCUGGGCAGUAGCUGACGCUGAGGCGCGACAGCGUGGGGAGCAAACAGG
rnacentral:rRNA from 1 species